rnacentral:rRNA from 1 species
UACGAAGGGGGCUAGCGUUGCUCGGAAUUACUGGGUGUAAAGGGUUCGUAGGCGGUGUGGCAAGUUGGGUGUGAAAUCUCUGGGCUCAACCCAGAGACUGCUUCCAAAACUGCUGUGCUUGAGUGUGAGAGAGGCUCGUGGAAUUGCAGGUGUAGCGGUGAAAUGCGUAGAUAUCAGGAGGAACACCGGUGGCGAAGGCGGCCCUCUGGACGGAUACUGACGCUGAGGCGCGAAAGCGUGGGGAUCAAACAGG